GAGCUGAGACGCAGAACUAACAACACUUUACUGUUACAUGGCUUCAGCAACAAGUGACAUCAUGACACAAACCCAAGCAGCCUGACUCUGGUCUGAGCAGUUGAUCAUGACAGACAAAUAGAAGACUGAGGAAGGGUGUGUUACCUAAAAAUUGAGAGAAACAUGGCUUUCUCAAACCUGGCAGCUUGGAUGUGCAACUGUAUGAGUGAGCCAUGGUUACAUGGAUACCUGAUAGUUUUCAUCUCUGCCAGGCUUCAAACUGAUUGGAUGAAGGGCAGAGUACUGAAACAAGAAUGAAGUGGGGAUUUGCUUAUAAGAGAACCCAGAAAGACAGUCAUGGUAUGUACUCACUCAUCAGUGGAUUCUAGAUAUAAAAUAAAGAACAAUCA